UAAUGCGGCUAGUUAACAGUGGUACG
rnacentral:piRNA from 1 species